AUGGUAUAUCCUGGUAGUAGUACUAGUAGAAUUGAGAUUGAAUGCACUUUCUUCCCCGUCUUCCACUCUUCUUCCUCCUCUCUUCUUCUUCCUCCUCUCUUCCCCAUUGUCGGCCGCACACCAUUUACCCCCGCUCACUGCUCGCCCACCCGCGCCAUCUUCCUUGCAGACGCAAAUGCGCUGGCCUUCAUGAUUCCAGGACCUGGAAUCAUACCAGCCGAUGGUUUGAUGCACUCCUCUGGUUUGAAGGAUAGAUACCUUCCUGGGAUCAAGUGCAUCCUAACUCACCUACUACCAUAUAACUGGAAUUACCGAUGCAAGUCGAAGAAGGAUUGGCCGGUGCUGCCGGCUGGCGUCAAGUUCGAUCCCACGGAUCAGGAGCUGAUCGAGCACCUUGAGGCCAAAGUGAGUGCUGACAGCGCGAGAUUUCGGUCUCUCAUCGAUUUGUUCAUACCAACCAUCGACAGCGAGCACGACAUAUGCUACACCCAACCUGAGAAACUUCCAGCGCAAUUCCAGGGUGUUCAAAAGGGGCACAUGGACGCGUCGCAAGAUACAGUCGGAGUGCGGCAUGCACGCGAUGUGGCACAAGACCGGCAAUCAACGGCCGGCAGACGGGCAGCAAAAAAGGUUCUGGUGCUGCACACCAACAAGAACUUCGACCAGCAGAGGAACAACUGGGUAAUGCACCAGUACCACCUCGGGGACCUGGAGUUGAGCAAGUUUCAACUGGGCUGUAGACUGCCCAGGGUUGGUUUUGUUUUUAACAGGCCCAGCCCAUGA
rnacentral:rRNA from 1 species